AAAUAUACAAAUUUUAUACGUACAAUCCUCGCGAGUUUAUUUAUCAAGUUUUUAUUUUUUUUUAUUGCCUUUGUAGGCAGACGGGCAUACGGCCCACCUGAUGGUGAGUGGUUACCGUCGCCCAUGGACUUCAGCAAUGCCAGGGGCAGAGCCAAGCCGCUGCCUACCGCAGUUCCUUGCCAAUCCUAAUCAUACAGUCCACUACAGUCUUUUUUUUUUAAGUAAUGAAAAUUAUAAAUUGAAUAAAUACACAGACGCAAGAAAAUGUUAGAAACUUACAAAGAUACCACAUGGAGAGUUAAAUACGCUAUAAAUCGUGAUAUUGAUACUUAAUGGCAGAAACGUGUUCAGUGCUGUCCUCCAUUAAAGCCAUUAAGUUUCUAUUAAAUAGCACUUAUAUUAUAACAAUAGCCACUGUGAUAACACAUUUUGACUAGCAUCAAGAUAAUGUGGAGAAAGUUGAACGGCUUGAGAUGGCGACCAGAGACCCUUGAUAAAUCGAAGCGACAAAUAACAGUCGGCAUCGCUUUACAGGAUUUGGAAGGACGUCCGCGUCACGGGGCACAUUAAUUCAAAGGAUCCGAUUCGGUUAGAUUGCCAUUCCCUGUCGCCAAUGCAACUUGACGUAAUUUAUUGAUAGUGCGGGAUUUUCAUAUUAACUUAUAUAGAACCUUUUUUGGGACGAAGUUCCUUAUGGGACGAUGCGGAGGGGUACCCUAACUGGGAAAAACUUCCGUAACGUAAGAAGAUUUAGUUUGUUAUCAACAGAUGUCGCUGCAUGUAAAUUCAGCAAUUCUUGAAUCGCCGUGUUGAAAUGUUACACAGUUGAUAGAAUUUCUCGUAUUACUGGUAUUUUAUGAAUCGUUGUGAAUAAAAUAAAGUGAUAACUUUGUAAA